GAUGAACGCUGGCGGCGUGCCUAACACAUGCAAGUCGAACGACAAGACGAGGAGCUCGUGCUUCUGACGUUAGCGACGGACGGGUGAGUAACAAGUGGAUAACCUUCCUCUAUGUCUGGGAUGAUUACGGGAGACAGGAGAUACUAAUAGAUAAUACAAUCAACCGGAUGGUUCAAUAGAGAUUGACGGCUUUCGUGUCUCUUAUAGACGGAUCCGCGCCGCAUUAGCUAGUUGGUAAGGUAACGCCAUACCAAGGCUACGAUGCGUAGCCGACCUGAGAGGAUGAUCGGCCACACUGGAACUGAGACACGGUCCAGACUCCUACGGGAGGCAGCAGUGGGGAAUCUUCGGCAAUGGGCGAAAGCUUGACGGAGCAACACCGCGUGGGUGAAGAAGGUCUUCGGGUCGUAAAGCUCUGUUGUUGGGAAAGAACAGCUGUAUGUGAAUCUAUAGCCGUCUUGACGGUACCUAAACAAAAAGCAACGGCUAACUACGUG
rnacentral:rRNA from 1 species